GACAGAGGUGCGAACGUUGUUCGGAAUUACUGGGCGUAAAGCGCGUGUAGGCGGCAGCGCAAGUCGGGCGUGAAAUCCCACGGCUCAACCUGGAAGUGCACUCGAAACUGCGCAGCUAGAGUCCUGGAGAGGAAGGUGGAAUGCUUGGUGUAGAGGUGAAAUUCGUGAGAUAUCAAGCGGAACACCGGUGGCGAAGGCGGCCUACUGG
rnacentral:rRNA from 1 species